GAGAUCGGGAUAACACCUGGAAACAGAUGCUAAUACCGGAUAAUAAACAGAUGAUGCCUAUCAACUGUUUAAAAGAUGGUUCUGCUAUCACUCUUGGAUGGACCUGCGGUGCAUUAGCUAGUUGGUAGGGUAACGGCCUACCAAGGCGAUGAUGCAUAGCCGAGUUGAGAGACUGAUCGGCCACAUUGGGACUGAGACACGGCCCAAACUCCUACGGGAGGCAGCAGCC
rnacentral:rRNA from 1 species